rnacentral:rRNA from 1 species
AUUGAACGCUGGCGGCAGGCUUAACACAUGCAAGUCGAGCGGAGAGAGGUAGCUUGCUACUGAUCUUAGCGGCGGACGGGUGAGUAAUGCUAGGAAUCUGCCUAUUAGUGGGGGACAACAUUUCGAAAGGAAUGCUAAUACCGCAUACGUCCUACGGGAGAAAGCAGGGGAUCUUCGGACCUUGCGCUAAUAGAUGAGCCUAAGUCGGAUUAGCUGGUUGGUGGGGUAAAGGCCUACCAAGGCGACGAUCUGUAGCGGGUCUGAGAGGAUGAUCCGCCACACUGGGACUGAGACACGGCCCAGACUCCUACGGGAGGCAGCAGUGGGGAAUAUUGGACAAUGGGCGGAAGCCUGAUCCAGCCAUGCCGCGUGUGUGAAGAAGGCCUUAUGGUUGUAAAGCACUUUAAGCGAGGAGGAGGCUACUUUAGUUAAUACCUAGAGAUAGUGGACGUUACUCGCAGAAUAAGCACCGGCUAACUCUGUGCCAGCAGCCGCAGUAAAAC